AGGGGACCGCUGUGAGGUCUGGAGAGGAUGCGCCAUCGACCCCGGCAGUAGGCGGCCGAACCUUGGCCCCAAAUCUUCUACCCCGGGGUGGAUUGCGGCCCCUAGAGGAAAGGCGUCAGGGGACCGACCGGCAGCUGUGCCGUCGCGGCACUCUGGACCACGCUGAGGGCGGGCCGGCUUCCCUGCGCCUGCGCUGACAUUUUGCAGUUUGGGAAAUGGCGGUGCUCGGGGACGUCGAUACUGACCCAGGGCGGGAGGCAGCUGCGAGUGGAUUGUCGGGCCUUUUCAGACCGGGGUCUGAACCUCUGGGCCGGGGCGGGGCUCGGGUGCUGCCUGGCUCUGCCAACGUUCUGGGCCCUCGAGUGUGAAUGAGCUCCGCCCGCCAUCCGCCUUGUAGUCCUCGCGUCCGGCCACCGGCGCGGGGCUCCCACCCAUCCCCACCCCACCCCACCCCACCCCACCCCGUCUGUUUCCUUUCUGGUCCAGUGGGGACAGCCCUGAGUGAGCAGCGUCGUAGGAGUAAGAUACCUGGGCCCCCGGCCUCUCCUUCUUGCCCUGCCCCCGCACCCCCUCCCGCACGGGGACCCGGAUAACUCCUUUCAACAGAAGUCUUUUGGGAGCACACGAUAAGGCUUCCUUUCAUCUGGCCUCAGCCCUUCACCAGUUAACCGCCCUGUCCCCAGGCUCAGGCAGGGCAUAUUCUUCGCAACCUGCUCUUCUUUGUUGAGAUGCAGAUGGAUGUCCUCAUAGAUUCUUUAUACCUAAUGGUAAUACAUAUAGGUAUUUCCAUUUGCUAAGUACCAGUUUUCCUUUCUCACACCCUUCUUACAACCCCUCUUCAUGUCAGGGAGAAAAAAGCCUGCCUGUAGUUACAAAAGCAAACUUCUCCCAGAUUUUGUCAGCUGAGCCUCUAGAGACAAAUAUCUUUGGUGUUUUAUUUCCUCCAGUAUUUUCUGAGUGCCUGCUGUGCAUCAAGCACUGUACUGAAUAGUGCUGAGGACCCACAGGAACCAAAUCGGCAUCUUCUCAUGAAAUUCAGACUAGUGGCAGAAAACUGGACUUGUGAUGAAGGAGCAGAUGAAGUGCUCUGGAAAUUCAGGGGUGAAGGAGGAGGAUGAGCUGUCUUUAGAGAUGAAGCAGUAGUAUACAGAGGAACCAGAGGGGGCAAUUCCAAAUGAAAUGAACACAGGGCAGCUUGACAGCUCAUUGGGCCCAUACAAAGAACGUGGUUCAUUUUGUGUGUGUGGGGAGGGGUGCAGGAGGUGGGUGGAGUUAAUGGAGUAGUGGUUGUAUGGUACCAUUGUUAAAAGCAGGUGUUUUAGCUUAUUCACUGUGCGACUUCAGGCACAUAACCUCUUUGAGCCUGUCCAAUAAAGGUACAGUAUUUACU
ensembl:lncRNA novel transcript, antisense to SLC2A1